rnacentral:rRNA from 1 species
CGUGAGGGAAAGUUGAAAAGAACUUUGAAGAGAGAGUUCAAAAGGGCGUGAAACCGCUUAGAAUAAAACGGACAGAACCGUCUGACGCCCUCGGGAAUCAGUCGAACGUCGCGCGAACGCGAUCGGGUUCAAAGGAGCGUAAAAGUCCUACUCCGAUCGUCUAGUAGUCGCGUAUGUGAGGCGCAUUUCUCGAGGGUUAGCGUCGUGACCGAUGCGAAAGGCCAGUGAAACUGUCGGGGUUGAGGUGGAAUUCCCUUCGGGGUUUUCCUUACCAACUUGGCGGUGAUAAUCGCUGGACCGUAGUAGGCAUCGAGCGUCUAUAAAAUAUAACGUUGGCGAGUAAAAAAAAUGCGCUCGCUAGUAUAUGACGGAGAGUCGGCCCGUUAGUCGACGCCUGCUCGCAGGCGUUCGUUUAAUGGCUCGGUCGUUUACGAAGUCAUCGGCGACGUACCAACGUUUAGGCGUCCACAACGUCCGAGUCGGUUACCUGUCCGACCCGUCUUGAAACACGGACCAAGGAGUCUAACGUACGCGCGAGUUAAUGGGUGAAAAACCUAUAAGCGCAAUAAAAGUAAAAACUGUCUUUAGACAGUCGAGGUACGAUAUUAAGGUACCGCAUUCCGCCCUAGUCGCAGUACCGUCCCGUCCCGACCGCUUGUCGGUAGGGCGGAGACAGAGCGCAUACGUUGGGACCCGAAAGAUGGUGAACUAUGCCUGAGCAGAGCGAAGCCAGAGGAAACUCUGGUGGAGGUUCGUAGCGGUUCUGACGUGCAAAUCGAUCGUCAGACUUGGGUAUAGGGGCGAAAGACUAAUCGAACCAUCUAGUAGCUG